UAUGUGGUUUAUAAAGAAAAUGCUUAGAAAAGAAAGGUAAGAAGUCGAGUCAGAAAGAAAAUGGGUAAAAGUGUCCUGGGUUGCUCCUAUUGUCUCCCACACAUGCCUCCACUUCUUAUU
rnacentral:miRNA from 1 species